GGAGGAGGAGGAGAGGAGGAGAGGGGGGGAUAGGGAGAGAGAAAAUGGGAGGCUAAGGUUAUAGCCAAGCCCUCUCUUUCUCUCCAUUGGUUAGAGUCCCCCUCCGUUCACUCACUGCAAAAAAUGUCCAUCCCAAUAAGUCACUGGGUCUCGUGUUCAAAUGUUAAUGUCAUCUUAUUCGGAAAAUAAAGUGUAGAAAAUCAAGUGCACUUUACAGAUUUCCACUUGUUUCCCGACUCGCUCCGAGUCAUCUGUAGAUUUUUUUUUAAGGGAGUCUGUAUCGUGAAAUAAAGCGGAGCGCGCAGGGAGAUUCCGCUAAAAAUUAACAGUCGGUGUUAUAAAAUGUACAGAGGUGGAUCGACUGGGGUUGGAAACACGUAGACGCAUCUCGCUUCGAGAUGGAAUAUUCAUCCUGCCGUUAUAGAAAACCCAAGAUCUCCAGACUCAACGCUGAGCCGGCUGAUGUCUGAGGAUGGAUAUUUUUUACAGUGUUGCCAUCUACGGCUGGAGGGGCUGGGGGGCUCUGACAGGCACAAUUUACAUUGAGCUCGCCCCGCGCUGCUAUUUACUUUGAAACCUGAUUAGUAUGGGCCGUCUAUUGUCACCAAAAAGAGGAAGAAACCCUGGAUAGAAUAGCAAAAAAAAAAAAAAAAAAAAAAGCGGGGUAAAGGCAAGGGGGGACAAAGCUUUUACGCACGACAAAUAAACCAAAAAACUGUGCGCAGCGGUGAAAGGGGGAUUCUGUUUCCGAAAUUCCCCAAAGUUUCAAAAUGGUUUGCCUCGGACUGUUAUCUUUAUUAUAAAAUGAACGGAUGUCAUUGUUGGCUUGAAGUGGAUUUAUAUUUAUACACGUUGUUUUGUCCUUGGCAUGCGCAUUGCGGUACAUCGUCGCCAGUAAUCGGCACAAAUCUCGCUGAUUAAAACUUGGAAUUUAGUUUAAACCAGUUUAUAAAAGGAGGAAAAUGUCACUGGGAAGAAUGAUGCAUAAAAGACAGUAUGUUGUACAAACGGGAUGCCUUGCCAGCGGCCGAAAAUCUCUAAAAUUAGACGGAGGAAUAAGCAAUAUUCAAUAAUUACCAAGGUCCUAUAGUCUCCACAAUCACUGAGCUGGUGUCACAUUAUGUCUUAAUAAUGACAGUAAUUCAAAAUCAUGUGAAGUUACUGGGAAUUUGCAUGGGGAUUCCGGCUUUUUUGUACCAGGGUUUCUGCAGGCUUACCUCUCUAACUCAAAAAUGUCUGGAUCGCGCUGCCAUCUAGCGUACAUUGUACAAUUACAGCCUCAUAUUAAUGGAUGUCCAAGUCAUCAAACAUGCAUUUUUAAAACCUAAAAAUGGUUUUAAAAAUAAAAUAAGGGCAGAUUUUAAGCAUUGCUGUCCUUCGUCUUUUUUGGGUUUCAGAAAUGUACAGUUACUUUUAUGCAAAAGUUGCAAAACGGACAGAAAAACUUUCAAAAACCAUCAACAAAUGUGAGUUAUGUCAGAAUAAAAUAAAAUAGUCUAAAAAGUAGACUAACAUUUUGAUCGCACGAGAUUUAGAGGGACCUUAAACCCAAAAUGCUGUGCGUAAAUCAUCUCCAAAAACAUGGUAAUAUCCACGUUGGAAAGGAGUAACUGUCCAUAAUACAUGCAAUUAUAGUUAAAUAAAAUAAACAAAGUGUUUGUGUACAGAUCUUUAAGCAAACAUAGAUAUUAGCAGGUAUAAUGGAGCGUUAAUAUGCAAGUGCGCCUUUGAAAACGCAUAGGAGGGAUGGGUUGUUUUUUAAGUAUUCAACAAGAGAGCUCUCUCUCCCGUCCCUGUCUCGGACACUCCACUGAAACUCCCCGGCCAUGUCUCCAGCUCUUUGAAAAGGUGAAACCAAUAAGAUUAAAUCGGACAAAGAUUUUUUUCUGUAAGUGUAUCAUUAAGAUUUAACUCCACAGAUUGGGAAAAAAAGAGGCUCCGCAGGAGAAGAGGAGAGGAGAGUGAGAGUGAGAGGGACAGCGAAUAGGAGCAGGGUAGAGGCUCUAAUAGAAAUCUGGGGAAACGCCGAGAGAAAAAGGAGAAAGUGGACGGCAGGGCAUUAAAAGAAGAAGCACUGACGACUGCGGUUUGCAGUAGAGGAGCAGCUUUCUGCCUGGAUAAAACCCGCCGUCGAUGAGGCAAAGAGCUACAUGGCGGCCUGGAAACACAGUGGGACAUGUCGGUGUGGUGCAAGGACUGACACGUGGACGAGAUGUGAUUUAUGACGAGCGCCGUUUGAUGAUAGGACAGUGACAGCGAUACCACUGCUAACUAUGAGUAUAGUGAUGACUUGGCAGGUAUAUAAAGUCACGUGUGGUAAAUAUAACAUAAAAGGUAAAUUAAUUGCCACUCUCAGAGUUGAUCUUAAGAAGCUGCCUUCUUUGAACUCCACCGCUCAGUUCAGGUUUUGUUCUUUCUCAUUAUGUACAUUACUGGAGUGUGUGUUUAUCAAGCACAAUCCAAGCGUUCCUGCUCAGAAAGGAAUCCAAGCAUCCUCAAAUUCUUUUUCAAUGAUUUGUUUUGGAAAAAUGCCUUAGAAUGCUUUUUGGGAAACUGGCAGCUGAUCUUUUCAUAACUAGAGGUCAACAUAACACUCAGUAUUAAUAAAACAAAUAAGACUAGGAGGGAUAUUAAUGAUGAUAUAUACAGAUGUAGCGCGCAUGAGCUUGAGUUAUGUGUGAGAGCAAGCUGAAGGAGAGACACUCUCACACAUGUUUGUAUGUUGACUCGUGUCUGUGUGGGUGAUAGUCCAGCCAGUUUCCCUUAGAUUUUCCCUUUGACCUUUGACACCAGAGUUGGGGUCAAGCCCUGACAAAUGAGAUGGUCGAGUUCUGGCCAGAACUGCAAACAUUCCACAACAAUCUUCUGUCCUCCUCCUCCCUUCUCCUCAUAUCCGUCAUUCCUCACCCUUUUACUCCUCUCAGUGUGUCUCUUCUACGACUUUGAGUCAGAGAAUGUUCUCAUUACACGCAGACAUGUUUUAUAGUAUUUGCUGUGGGAAUCUUAAAGCACACACCCUUCAAAUUAAGAAUUACAACACUGGUUAAAUUUAAUAUCCCUGACAUCUGCCUUGUUUACAGAAGGAAUGAAAACAAAAGAGUGUGAUCUGAGAGGAGAAGCUGUGGUAAAGAUUUGGAUAUUACAACCCUGCACUUUGAAAGCACAGUGUGUGUGUUUGGAAAGCCUGUCAGUGAUGUCAAGGAUGAGAAAUGUUGCAGUGUGGUUUUUUUUACACACGCUGCUGGCUCUAGCAUUUCCGGCAACAUUUCUCACUCUGCCUCCCUCACACCAUCCGCUCUGCUGCAAUAUCCCCACAUUUUUCCAUCUUUUCAAUUCUUCCUCUGCCCUCCCUCUCCUCGCCUUCUAUCCCCAAUCUUGCUCCCUUUACCCUUCCUCUCCGCUGCCCCACCCUGCCUAAUCUCAAACUCUCCCUCCCUUCUCUCCUCUCCCAGCACAAUCACUCAACCCCCCUCCUUUUCUUUCCCCUCCACCCACUAUUUUCUCUGAUUUUCUAACAUGCCAUUCCACAGAAUGCUACCACCUGUGUCUUUAGAAGGGAAAAAAAAGGGGGGAGCUAUUGGCAGUCCUCCUCUGGAAGCUGGUUAAGGUAAGUGGCACCCACUAUUACAAUGACACAGCAAAUAAUGCUUGUGGUUAUUGUGUCUGUAUGAACUUUUUUUGUGCGUGUGGCUUAAAUGGAAUGUACCUGGCAUCCUAAGCAUCACCACCCUCCAUCAGAGCUCCGGCUACAAGUCACUGCUGUAAAAACACACGCAGUCACCAUCGAUGAACGUCAGCAGAGCAGCCACAGUGUCGCAAAGGAGCCCGGAGACCAACAAAGCUGGCUGAUACAGUAACACCGAGUGGAUCACGCUCUUGAACUUGCUUUCAUAAUGAUGUAAGAUUACUAAAAGGCAAUGCAACACAGCAAAGAUCUUAAUAAAAACACAUCAAUCUCGA